rnacentral:rRNA from 1 species
AUUGAACGCUGGCGGCGGGCCUAACACAUGCAAGUCGGGCGAGUGGCGGACGGGUGAGUAAUGUAUGGGGAUCUGCCUGAUGGAGGGGGAUAACUACUGGAAACGGUAGCUAAUACCGCAUACCAUCAGUUGAACCCAUAUGGGAUUAGCUUGUAGGUGAGGUAACGGCUCACCUGGGCGACGAUCCCUAGCGGGUCUGAGAGGAUGAUCAGCCACACUGGGACUGAGACACGGCCCAGACUCCUACGGGAGGCAGCGUUGGGGAAUCUUGGCCAAUGGGCGCAAGCCUGAUGCAGCCAUGCCGCGGGGAUGAAGAAGGCCUUCGGUUUGUAAAGUACGUUCAGUCGGGAGGCGUUACCGACAGAAGAAGCACCGGCUAACUCCGUGCCAGCAGCCGCGGUAAUAC